rnacentral:lncRNA from 1 species
AUAAAUUGUUUUCUAAAUGCAUAAUAUAGAGAAUGGUUCUGUUGCCAUUUGCUCAAGGUUUCCUGUCACUGGGACAGUUGGCAGAGCUGUCCAGCCAAAGCAGUGUCCAUAAGUAUGUGAAUCACAGGACCACAGCAAUGGAUGGCAGCAUGGCCCCAGUGGCUAACAUUCCUGUACUUGCCUAUUGUGGAUUAUGGUGGCCCAAGAAAAGGGAGAUGUUGGAGAGAUGGAAAUAGUACAUUCUGUUCCUUUGUCUCCCUUAGUGUGUACCACUCCAUCAGACACUAGGUGAAUUAGUACUUUCAAGAGCUUGCAGGGCUGGGGCAAGACUCCUCAAAAGACUGCACAUUCUCAGAAUCAGAUUUAAUACAGGACAUACAGAAAUUUAUAAGAUUAGCUUAGGCAAAUGAAGAAUGCAAGAGAUCAAUCCAUGCACUAGAGAUCCAAAGAAUUCAGCUGAGGGUCUGGAUCCCACAGCAAUGUCCUAUGAGUCCAUAUCAGGAGGCCAAGGAAUCUUUGAUGGAAGACUGAAGGUCUGUGUUGGCAGAAAAAGGCUGAAAAGCCAAUGCUGGAAGCUGAGGAGUCUGCGCAGAAAGCCAGGUGACAAUACUCAAGGCGAGCGUGAGGACCGGAGCUGCUCUGAAAACAGCCACAAUGAAGCUUUUCCAAGGAAAAUAAGAGAGAACAGGAUCAGACAUCAGCAGUGUUUGGCCCCUCUGGACACCGGUCUGCAAAAGGAGAGGCCACUCUGACAGUAUUCCGGGGCUCUGGGUAGGCCGGUCCCAGUUGGGCCCUAUUGCCGAUCAACUGACCCAUAGGAGUUUAUCAGGAAAGCCUCUAGAGGUAAGAAUUGAAUGAUUCUU